rnacentral:rRNA from 1 species
GAUGAACGCUGGCGGCGUGCCUAAUACAUGCCAGUCGAGCGAACAGAUGAGGAGCUUGCUCCUCUGACGUUAGCGGCGGACGGGUGAGUAACACGUGGAUAACCUACCUAUAAGACUGGGAUAACUUCGGGAAACCGGAGCUAAUACCGGAUAAUAUUUUGAACCGCAUGGAUCAAUAGUGAAAGACGGUUUUGCUGUCACUAAUAGAUGGAUCCGCGCCGCAUUAGCUAGUUGGUAAGGUAACGGCUUAACAAGGCAACGAUGAGUAGCCGACCUGAGAGGGUGGACGGCCACACUGGAACUGAGACACGGUCCAGACUCCUACGGGAGGCAGCAGUAGGGAAUCUUACGCAAUGGGGGAAAGCCUGACGGAGCAACGCCGCGUGAGUGAUGAAGGUCUUCGGAUCGUAAAACUCUGUUAUUAGGGAAGAACAAAUGUGUAAGUAACUAUGCACGUCUUGACGGUACCUAAUCAGAAAGCCACGGCUAACUACGUG